CCACCGUUUGCAAGAAUUUUAUCAACCCAAGCUGGGGUUAGUUUGUUUAUUUUUCAUUCGUUUUUGGAGUAAUGUUUUGACUCCUUGGCUCUGAAAUUAAGCCACAAAAAAAAAAAGCUACCAUUCCAUAAAGAAACCUACUCCACAAUUCCACGGCUCGCAAUACUCCCACAAACACUGGGGCUCUCCUCCUACUGUGCUCUUGCUGCAGUGCAGACUGCUGCCACCUGCCCUCAAAGAAGAAAUAUUACAGUUCACGUUUGGAAGACAUCUCACCACACUAUGGAUUUAAUCCUGGUUAAGUAUGUUGCCUGUGGCACCCUUAAACACGUGAGUGGCUUAUCAAUUUUCCCCUACUCACCUUCCAUCAUUCCAUUAAUUAUUUCUUCUAAUUUAUAUCCCUCUCUCUUUUUUUGCAGUUGCAAUUUACUGACGUCAUGUCUCACAUGCAUGCCUAACAUUGGACCUGGAUGUGGAUGAGGAGGAAGCAAAUAGAAAAACACAUGAGGUUUUUUCAGCACUUCAUAGUUUUUUGACAUCGAAAUAAUUUCUUCUAUGCCAUUGUCAGUGUAUCACCUCCACACUUCCCAGAGCUACAAAUCUAAACUCAUGCUUUAUCUUGGCCCUGGUAUUUUGAUUCCAUUCUGACCACCAGGGAUCUGAAUGCUGCUCAGCUCCAUGCAAGAUAACAUAUUUAUCAGCAUAUGACACGCACAUUUAACUCCUGAAAAGCUUUCUGUUAAAGACGGAAGAAAGAGUGAAGAUAAUGUUGAAGAUAAAGUUCUUAAAGGGUCCCAGUAGGUUGCAGUUUGCGCAAUCCUCCUUGAUAUAUCAAUCCCCCUUCAAAUCACAGUGUCCCUUUCACUUUCACGUUCUAAAGAUCAUGCACUUACCCUGAGGAGGAGCAAUGGUCCUGCCAGAAGCCGAUGCUGGAGGGUCUUGAAUGCAGCUUUCUGUUAAAGACGGAAGAAAGAGUGAAGAGUCAAGCUCUAUGAUUUUGACCCCUGCUGCUGAAUCCAGGGACAUCCUCUGCCAGAAGGACAUCUCUUAGCUCCGCCUCCCACUCUCGCAACUUGAUAGGCUUUCCUCGGUUUUGUCCUAGUCGAAGCCUCUGCAUCUUCUUUGUAACCGUUGCCCGACAAUCAUAGAACCUGCAAAUGUACAUAAACAUUACAAUUACAUUAAUAAAAAAACAAAUACUUAGAUUAAUGUUUUUUGAAAACCACAUUUCUUUUCACAUUGUGAUGGUUAUAUGUAUACUGUUCAGCAUGUGGCUGUGACAAAUAAAUUUUUUGGUUACGUUGAACUGUUA